rnacentral:rRNA from 1 species
UACGGAGGGGGCUAGCGUUGUCCGGAUUUAUUGGGUUUAAAGGGUGCGUAGGUGGGUUCUCAAGUCUGGUUUGAAAGUUAGCUGCUCAACAGUUAGACGUGGCUGGAAACUGGGGUUCUAGAAUGGGUUGGCGGCUGGCGGAACGGGUCAUGUAGCGGUGAAAUUCAUAGAUAUUACCCAGAACACCGAUUGCGAAGGCAGGCAGCUACGACCUGAUUGACACUGAGGCGCGAGAGCAUGGGUAGCGAACAGG